rnacentral:rRNA from 1 species
CCUACGGGCGGCUGCAGUCGAGAAUCUUCGGCAAUGAGCGCAAGCUUGACCGAGCGACGCCGCGUGUGGGAUGAAGGCCCUCGGGUUGUAAACCACUGUCGUAGGGGAGGAAGGCUCCGUGAAGAGCGGAGUUUGACCUAUCCUAGGAGGAAGUACGGGCUAAGUUCGUGCCAGCAGCCGCGGUAAGACGAACCGUACGAACGUUAUUCGGAGUUACUAGGCUUUGUGGGUUUGUAUGUAGCCCAGUUGUGAAAUCCCUCGGCUCAACCGAGGAAUAGCGCUUGAUACUGCGAGGCUUGAGGGAGACAGGGGUAAGCGGAACUGAUGGUGGAGCGGUGAAAUGCGUUGAUAUCAUCAGGAACACCGGUGGCGAAAGCGGCUUACUGGGUCUCUUCUGACGCUGAGGAACGAAAGCUAGGGGAGCGAACGGGAUUAGAUACCCUAGUAGUC